rnacentral:rRNA from 1 species
AUGUAUUAUCAGAACCCACAAUAUCAUCUUGAUGGUGGUACAGGUCAGGCACCUUAUCAGGGUGGUUGUUAUGACUAUUAUGCCUCUUACAACAUAUACUCAGCUAGAGGUCCUCCCAGUGGCGUUCAAGCUCCAAUGUACGACUCAGCUAGAGGUCCUAGUGGUGCUCAAGCUCCAAUACACUACCGCAACUGGAGUCCUCAAGUACCUGUUGGUUAUACUAGCAGUUACCAACACUCUGCCCCGGGCCAACUUACAUAUGCGCAAGGGUAUGAUAAUGGGCAGUGCCACGGGCAGCAGUCGAUGAAUUUUCAGCCAGUGUACCAGUCUUACCCUCCACAGCAAGAUCCCUAUGGAAAGUCUGCUUUUGGUGGAGCUCAGCUGCAAGGCUACGACAUUCCUAUGCCAGGCACAAACUACCAUGGACCAACUCCAGCCCAGCAGCCAUAUGCAUUACAGAGCUCAACCGUGCCACCUCAACCAGGACUUGGUUAUGGUCAGUCCUAUGGUGCAACUGCUGGUGCUAUUCAUGGGUACGUUCAAUCUUCAAGUGGUUGUCAGCAGCCAGCGAGCCAGGCCACUUCGGCCUACCCCCAGCAAGUAAUGCAGCCCGACGUAUAUGGGCAGUAUCCAUCGACUCAGCCGGGUUACACUGAUCAGGCGAUUGCUAACAAUGCAAACUAUCAUCAGCAGCCAGCGAGUCAUGUCGCUUUGGCCUACCCACAGCAAGGAAUGCUGCCCGGUGUCUAUUGGCAGUAUCCAUCGACUCAGCCUGUGUAUACCAAUCACGCAGUUGCUAACAAUGAAAACUAUCAGCAGCUAGCAUGCCAUGCUGCUGCGGCCUACCCACAGCAAGGGUCGCAGCCCGGAGUUUAUGGGCAGCAUCCGUUGUACACUGGCCAGGCGGGCGCUAACAAUCCAGGGAAUGCAGCAGGGUCCGUCGACCCAGCCGGGGUACACUGA